rnacentral:lncRNA from 1 species
CCUGUAGAGUGAUAUGCUGCUACCUGCCUAACAUGGAAGCUCAGUGCCCAGGGCAUCUUAAUCCGUGAAGCUAGUUAAUCAGAAUAUCUUCUAUUCUCUCCUCAGCGUUACCUCCAUGAAACAUGGUGUUCAGACUCCUGGCCAGUUGCCAUGUGCCCAGAUAGCUAAGUUAGACAGCUGGCUUCCUGCCUUAUCGUACAGAAGAAAUGUCAGGACUUGCCAGUAAGCCCUUUGCUCUUAAUGUGUAAAAAUGCCAUUGCCCCUUUAGU